GCGUGCGUGGCGCGCUGGCCUGGAAGCUCUGGACCUGAGAGGUGUGCGGGCGAGUUGAGCAGUGAGAGCUUUUGGCGGCCAUGGCUCCCAACGUGCCCGCGCCCGAACCGGUCCCAGAGUCUCCUAAAGGCAUCCGAGCCGUGCUCUUAGGGCCGCCCGGAGCCGGCAAGGGUACCCAGGCACCCAAAUUGGCUGAAAACUUCUGUGUCUGCCAUUUGGCUACUGGAGACAUGCUGAGGGCCAUGGUGGCUUCUGGCUCAGAGCUGGGAAAGAAGCUGAAAGCAACUAUGGAUGCCGGGAAGCUGGUGAGCGAUGAAAUGGUUGUGGAGCUCAUUGAAAAGAAUUUGGAGACCCCUCCAUGCAAAAAUGGUUUUCUUCUAGAUGGCUUCCCUCGGACUGUGAGGCAGGCAGAAAUGCUUGAUGACCUCAUGGAGAAGAGGAAAGAGAAGCUUGAUUCUGUGAUUGAGUUCAGCAUCCCAGACUCUCUGCUCAUCCGGAGAAUCACAGGAAGACUGAUUCACCCCCAGAGUGGCCGCUCGUACCACGAUGAGUUCAACCCCCCAAAGGAACCCAUGAAAGAUGAUAUCACUGGGGAACCCUUGAUCCGCCGAUCAGAUGAUAAUGAGAAGGCCUUGAAAAUCCGUCUGGAGGCCUACCACACUCAAACCACCCCACUGGUGGAGUACUACAGUAAACGGGGGAUCCACUCUGCCAUCGAUGCAUCGCAGACCCCUGACAUCGUGUUUGCAAGCAUCCUAGCAGCCUUCUCCAAAGCCACAUGUAAAGACUUGGUUGUGUUUAUUUAAUGUCGGGUCCAAAAAGGAAUUUCUUUCUUCUUACUUUCCCUGUUGAACAAGUGGGUGGGAAUGGCAGAGUAGGCAGAGAGAAGCUUCCUCAGGCCAGCAAGAAUAUCAUUUGAUGUAUUGAUUAAAAAAGCACUUGCUUCAUGUACCUUUGGCGUGUGUGCAAGUCUCAUCUCAUCUAUGUGUGUGUGUGUGUGCGUGCAUACGUGUGUCAGUAUAUGUACAGUCUCACACUUCCUAAGUUAUAGGAGAGACUGUUUACUUCUUUAGCCGUACUCCUUAUUUUCAACCAAAAUAAACUAACCAGCCAGACAAGUUACCGGGUAUUUUUCCAUCUCCACCAGCUAAUUAGAAGUCCUGGAUCACGUGCAGUCAGGCAGGGCUACAGUUCCUGAUGGCAGGCUGUUGGCCAGAAAUUCCACUUGUUUUCUCACCCAUAAUGAAAAGUCAGCGGGUCAGUGUGUGGAAAGGGAUCAUUAAUUUUUCCCCCCUAAACAGGAAUGAAAAGGCACUUAGAUUCCAGAAAUUACUGAGAGAGGAUAUCACCAUAGACAGAGCCUGGCCAAGUUGAAUUAUUUUUGUGAUCUGCACCAUGGUUCUGUAAAGUAGGAAUCAUUUGGUUCCUGGGUUGAAUACUAAAUUGAUGCCAAAGAAUUAAACCAGGUGAAAGGUCCUCUUGAAUUCAGACUAUCUUGUGAACAUCCAGGCUGGGCAUCUGAGAGCAGCCAGUCCACUUCCCCAAAAACAGCAGGAUAGAUUUGUCUUUAUUUUUAAUGUUUGCUCAGUUUCCAAGUGUGAACAAAAUGGUGAUUUGGGGAUCAUGUUGAUUAGAAUUUAUUCAAGCCCAGUCUCUACAGGAUAUGAAAUCAGAUAUAUCCCUUUUGAACUCAACCCUCUCCCUUCCAUAUCCAGUCCUUCACCCCUUAUGUCAUGACGGUGGUGGCCACAGUCUCCCCAAGAAAGGACCACCCCCAAAAUAAGAUCACCUAUGGCAGUAACCAACUUUUCUUCCUAACCUCAGCUCCCGGCUCUUAGGCAUUUCCUGAGGUCCACGCUGUGCCUUUUGGUCUCUGGUUUGAUCUGUGGCAAACAGAGGAAUUAAUAGACUGCUAUGAGGGACCACAAAAACAGCAGGCUCUGGAAAAACCAUUAAAAAGUCAGUGACAGGUCCAGUAAAUAAUGCCACCUGCCCAGGGUACUCUGCUGACUCAGUGCAGUGGCCUCGGAAGUGCCCAGCCCCCACCUGACCUGAGCUCUCCUGCUGUCUAUGGGACCACCAGAGGGCUUGUCCUCUGUCCGCCUGGAAACUGGCUGCGCCUAGUAACAGAAGGCCAGGCGAGACUGCACCAGUACUCAUCACCCCACGGCAUGAUCCCUGCUCUUAGGUGCUGGGCAGAGGGAGGGGCGGUCAGGGUAAGGAUGGGGAGGGAGGAGCGGCAAGGGCCCAAGAGGGGGAGAGGAGCUGUGCUGCCGUGAUGCAAUUUCUUUUACAUGGAGUAGGACUCUUAAAAGUAUAAGCAAAGGGAAAAAUUAAUUUUUUAAAACACUUGAAUUGAGGGUAUAAAUAGAAACAAGGAGAUACAGUGUUAUUUCUAAGGAAUCAUGUUUUCAUUUACUUUGGACUGGUGACAACUGGACAGGUCUCAGUGCCCAGAGACCUCAGCUUUUAUCAGAACCUCAUGCCAGCCCAGGAAUGCAGGAAAUCACACUAUUGUCCUGUCUGCCCCAUAGCUUGGAACAGGGCGGGAGUUGAUUACUAAUCCUGGUUACCCAUACCAUGAAAUCAGAACGUCAUCUCCACACGUGAAAGAGACAUGGAGUGUGUUCCUGGGGGCAGCAUCUCAACAAAUCCGGCUUACUGGAGUCAUGGGGCAGGCUGGUGUCCCUCCCUUCCAUACUCACCGCUGAUUUACCAGCUUACCUGCCCUCAUGGGUGAGACCUUGGCAGCCACCCAGCAUACGCCACAGUCCGGCACUCUUGCCUUCCUCCAUUCACAUUAUGUGAAAGGACUCUUUUUAAUGAAUGAGCAAGUGUCCUAAGCAACAUUAUCCAAAGACUGCCCUCUCCAUCCUCAAAUCCUAUGACCGGGAUCACUACAACACUGUGAUGUAUUAUUUUCAAUGAGGUGCCUUUCUUAACUGUCCAAAUGCUGCCUUGUUUGGCCCCUAAAUAAAGUGUGUGAAAAGUUUGUA